ACGUACAGUAUCCUUCAAUAAAUUCCGAGGGGGGUGCUUGGAGAAUGAAGACAUCUGUCGGAUCCCAACUAAACCCUUUGAAAAUAUUUCGCGCAAACUUGAUACCGUGCAGACGCAAACUUGACGUGUAGACCGAAAAGGUAAUCAUAACAACUCAGAACAGCAGUGAUUUUAAAUAGAUGCUAAAUGAUUUUGCUUUCUUUUUUAACUUGGCGUCUCAUUCCUGGACUGUUUGUGAAUGGGAUUUUUAAAUUCUUCAAUGGCAUUCAAGGAUUCAAGGAUGAAUUGAACAAGAAACUGGAAGAAGUAAGCAAGAAAACGAUUCAUUCAAUAUCCGAAACGCAAGAAUUGAUCCAGCAACUGACGGCCUACACAUGUCAACAAAUGUUGGAGGAGACAACGACCAAAAUGGAGAAUCUUUGUAAUCAGUUGUUGAUUAAGAAUGAACACAAUAGAAAUCUUGACAGAAAGACUCGCAAAGCAGAAUACAUAUUAGCUGGCCAAGAGACCUCUCAGCGAUUAAUAUGCUGAUUUGGAAAAAAACAAAUUGCUUAUCUUAAGUUUCAGUUGUCUGAAAAGGCUAUUGAACUCCAGUGCAAGGAAAGGAAGAUUGAGGAAACUGAGAAUGCCUUGAAAGACUUGUCGCUACAUUCUCAUAGCAAUGAACAGUUGACCAUUGUCGAAGAAAGCAAUCGCGAACUUUAGGGCAAAUUUGAUGAAAAGGCCCAGGAACUUGAAGCUGCUCUUGUUUGUCGAGAGAAUUCACAACGAUUAAAAGCCGAUCUCGAUAAGUCAAAGUCAAUAGAACUACAGUAGAGCGGAUGGAAGAAAUGGAGAGAGCCUUAGAUGAAUUGACACUAAAGUUUCUUAACACUGAGCGGGCAGAAUCCUGCCGAUCAGAAGUGGACAACUGGACAUGCCGAGACAACAAGAAAAGUUGGAGAUAGGCGCUUUGAAAACAUCCUUAAAUUUAAAGAAUUUAGAACUUGAGAGUAUCAGCGGUGAAUACGAAGAGGCCCAGUAGAUUAUGGCGUCAUCGGAAAGAAAGAUAGCCGAUCUCGAGUCAGCCUUCUGGAGCGAAGAUUGGAAACGGAAAGUGAACAGGUAAAUUCGUUUCGAGCAUCUGUCUUAUUUGUCAUUUAAUUUAGAUAUAUUAUGGUAAUUUUUUUAGGCUUCUUUCCCUAACCAACAACCUGUGAUAAAGGCUGCCGUGGAACCAGCACGUUCGCUUCGGCCCAUCUUGAAGCAAACAUUUUCUGAUGUCAAACAACAGGAACUGGCUUCACAAGAUGCAAGGACACCGUUUUAGCUAUAAAAAAAAGGUUAAUAAAGGUUAUACUUUUGAACCUAGAAAGGAGAUGCAUCUAAAACUGCCAUGGAUACUUUAAAUCUUUUGCAGAAAGCUAAUGCUAUUGUAAGACCCUAUUUGUUGAUGUCGUGCCGUCGCAAACUUGAUGCCAUGAAUGAUAUGAAUUGAUGAUGCAAUACAAUGAAUUAUGCAAACAGCGUA